AUUGUGAAAAGAAAAUAGAAGUGCAACACACCUCUACGUGAAAGGGCACUUAUUUUUUAGAAGAAUUUGGUGUGCUGGCGGAAAAAUAUAGCAUCAUGGCCCACAAGCUUGCUAUCAUGGGCUGAUUAAAUUGUUGAGAAGUGGUGCUGCUAUUUAAAAGAGCUGUGUGCUGGAAGAAAAAAAGUAGGACUCCACGUUGGCAACAAGAAAAAUAGGGCACGGACAAUGAAGCAAAAUAGGGGUGAUAUUUUUAUUUCCUGGAAGCAGCACACAGGGGAGAAUGGAGGGCUACGGAUAAGGUGGCAGCCGCCACCAUAUGGCCUAAAAAAGUGGUGCACGGUGACGAAUUACUGGGAAACACACGUUGAUUCAAUUUCUUUGGAGAUUACAUUCCAUUUUGAAGGCAGUUUUUACGUCCAACUUUAUUAGGAUUUGGAUUUUAGAAAAGUAGCUAACUCAUUUCACUUUUACUCUACUGUUUUAAUUUUCUUUUAAGUGUUGUUCGGUGAUGGAUGUGCAUGGUAACAAUCAGCAUUUCUCGUUUUGGCUCAUUAGUUGCAUUUUACAACGUCUUGCAUUGAUAGCAGUUUCAAUUAGUAUCUCAUCCUUUAGUUUCCUCGUGCAUUUUUACAUUAUUUUUUUUAUCGGUCAUGCUUUUUAUAUGUUUUUUUUUCUUAUUUUACUUUAGUUGUUCAAUGAUGGAUUGUUUAAUUUAGAUCUGCCUUUUUUUUUAGUAGCUUAUUUGUCGCAUUUAAAUUUGUUCACCGCAUUUAAAUUUAAUAGUACUAGAUGUGUUUCCUCAUUUACCUGUAUCAGUCAAUUGUUGCUUUCAAAUUUAUGCAAGCUGCGACUUUUAAUUUGUUUAAUAUAGGACCAUUCAUUUUACUGUUUUCGUUUAUUAUGUUG
rnacentral:lncRNA from 1 species